rnacentral:rRNA from 1 species
UGCCUUGAGAUCGGAGUGCUUGCACUCUGUGAAACAAGAUACAGGCUAGCGGCGGACGGGUGAGUAACACGUGGGUAACCUGCCCAAGAGAUCGGGAUAACACCUGGAAACAGAUGCUAAUACCGGAUAACAACAGAUGAUGCCUAUCAACUGUUUAAAAGAUGGUUCUGCUAUCACUCUUGGAUGGACCUGCGGUGCAUUAGCUAGUUGGUAGGGUAACGGCCUACCAAGGCGAUGAUGCAUAGCCGAGUUGAGAGACUGAUCGGCCACAUUGGGACUGAGACACGGCCCAAACUCCUACGGGAGGCAGCAGUAGGGAAUCUUCCACAAUGGACGCAAGUCUGAUGGAGCAACGCCGCGUGAGUGAAGAAGGGUUUCGGCUCGUAAAGCUCUGUUGUUGGUGAAGAAGGACAGGGGUAGUAACUGACCUUUGUUUGACGGUAAUCAAUUAGAAAGUCACGGCUAACUACGUGCCAGCAGCCGCGGUAAUACGUAGGUGGCAAGCGUUGUCCGGAUUUAUUGGGCGUAAAGCGAGUGCAGGCGGCUCGAUAAGUCUGAUGUGAAAGCCUUCGGCUCAACCGGAGAAUUGCAUCAGAAACUGUCGAGCUUGAGUACAGAAGAGGAGAGUGGAACUCCAUGUGUAGCGGUGAAAUGCGUAGAUAUAUGGAAGAACACCGGUGGCGAAGGCGGCUCUCUGGUCUGUUACUGACGCUGAGGCUCGAAAGCAUGGGUAGCGAACAGGANNNGAUACCCUGGUAGUC